rnacentral:rRNA from 1 species
GACGAACGCUGGCGGCGUGCUUAACACAUGCAAGUCGAACGGUGAAAGCGGAGCUUGCUCCGCUGGAUCAGUGGCGAACGGGUGAGUAACACGUGGGCAACCUGCCCCUCACUUCGGGAUAACUCCGGGAAACCGGGGCUAAUACCGGAUAUGACCUCCUUGGGCAUCCUUGGAGGUGGAAAGUUUUUCGGUGAGGGAUGGGCCCGCGGCCUAUCAGCUUGUUGGUGAGGUAGUGGCUCACCAAGGCGACGACGGGUAGCCGGCCUGAGAGGGCGACCGGCCACACUGGGACUGGGACACGGCCCAGACUCCUACGGGAGGCAGCAGUGGGGAAUAUUGCGCAAGGGGCGAAAGCCUGACGCAGCGACGCCGCGUGCGGGAUGACGGCCUUCGGGUUGUAAACCGCUUUCAGCAGGGAAGAAGCCGCAAGGUGACGGUACCUGCAGAAGAAGCACCGGCUAACUACGUGCCAGCCGCCGCAGUAA